rnacentral:tRNA from 1 species
UGUAAGAGAGUGUAGAUUUUGCACGUAAGUUUUUGGUACUUAAAGUAAACGAAGUUUUCUUACAA